UCGGCCCGAACGUAUCCCGUCCUCCCUCUUGCGAGUCAUCUUCUCCCCCGCGCCGCUCUUUUCCCACUCCACUCCUUUCUCCCACGCAUCGCUGCAGGCCCCUCCCGAUCGGGCCAGAGCCGCCGCGCCCGUGCACUUCCGGCGAGGAUCCGGAAGCAUGACGAGAGGUCCAUUUCCCCGCGCAUGCGGCUCAGGUAUCCCCAGCGCCGCCCAUCUUCGAACGGAUCCGGCGGCCGCGUCCUCUGUACCGCCUCGCAUCCGACCAAGCGAGGGUCGCGGAGAGCACGGGGGGAGGGGGGGGGGGGGGGGGGGGGGGGGUCGUGGCAGAGGUAAUAGCGGCCGGGGCGGCGAGGGUCGCGGAGCCGAGAAAGCCGGAGGCGACCUCGUCGGGCCGACAUGGGGCGACCAUGCCGCCGCGUUCCACAUGCUGGAGAUGGUGGCAACCAUACCGCCGUGUUCCUCAGGCUGCUGGUCGCCAAAGCAACGGUACCUGUUGCUCCCUCCCUCCAUCACACACCUACUGACUGAAUUUUCUACAGAUGUUCAAUUUUUUGUUGUUGUCCCGUUGAACUAGCUUGUUUAAGUUGCCAUCAUGUAGUUGAGGGAGGAGAGACCAUUGCAAACUACAUGAUGCUUGAUGCGGAAAUUUUAGUUUAAGUUGCCAUUGUGAAUUUUAUUUUAAGUUGCCAUGGCAAAUUUAUUGUAAAGAGAAUGCCAAUUUUAAUUUAAAUAUGAUGGCAAAUUUUACAUGUCUAGAACAUAACAAAAUUUAUUAUGUAGCAUCUUUAAAUAUACUUGUGAAGCCAUGACAAUUUUUAAUUUAUUUCGAUGGCAGAAGUACUACAUUUUCUGUAACACAUGGCAACUUUUGUAAAAUUGGUGGUCUGAUCACAUAGCAAAUUUGAGAGGGAAUUA